GGCUUGUAUCGACCCGAGCUGUGCCGAAGCUAACGCGGUUAAGUAAUCCCGCCCUGGGGAGUACGCACGCAAAGUGUGAAACCUCAAAAGGAAUUGACGGGGGCCCGCACAANCGGUGGAGUAUGUGGUUUAAUUUGCGAAUGCAACGCGAAGAACCUUACCAGGGCUUGACAUGUCCGGAAUCCCGGGUGAAAGCCCUGGGGAGUUGGCCCUUUCCGGGGAAGCCCGGAAACACAGGUUGGUGCAUGGCUGUCGUCAGCUCGUGUCGUGAGAUGUUGGGUUAAGUCCCGCAACGAGCGCAACCCUCGUCUUUAGUUGCCAGCAUUAAGUUUGGGCACUCUAGAGAGACUGCCGGUGACAAACCGGAGGAAGGUGGGGGAUGACGUCAAGUCAGCAUGCCCCUUACGCUUGGGCGACACACGUACUACAAUGUCGGCAGAGGCAGCGACCUGCGAAGGCAAGCUAAUCCCAGCAAACUCGGCCUCAGUUCAGAUCGCAGGCUGCAACUCGCCUGCGUGAAGGAGGGAUCGCUAGUAUCGCCGGUCAGAAUACGGCGGUGAUCCGUUCCCGGGCCUUGUACACACCGCCCGUCACACCAUGGAAGCUGCCACGCCCGAAGUCGUUACC
rnacentral:rRNA from 1 species